AAUUCUCAACCUUCCAGCUUUUAUUAGCUUGGUUAGGCUUGGAUGUGGGGGUUGCAGGCUUCACUUAUGAGGUCGGCUCUCCUUAAAUGCAUUAGCGGAACUUUUGUGGACCGUCUAUUUGUGUGAUAAUUAUCUACGCCGUGGAUGUGAAGCAGCUUUAUAAAGUUCAGCUUCUAACAGUCCAUUGACUUGGACAAUUUUGACA
rnacentral:misc_RNA from 1 species